GGAGUUGUAGUUCAGUGGUAGAGCACUUACCUAGCAUGUGUGAGGCACUGAGUUCAAUCCUCAGCAUCACAU
rnacentral:tRNA from 1 species